AUGUCGUGAUGGGCACAUUUUCUCAUCAAUUCUUUAAACCUCUCCCGUGCGUCAUAUAAUGAUUCCCCAUCAUACUAGAAGAAGUUAUUGAUUUCUCCUCUCAACCU